rnacentral:rRNA from 1 species
AGCGAACGCUGGCGGCAGGCCUAACACAUGCAAGUCGAACGAACUCUUCGGAGUUAGUGGCGGACGGGUGAGUAACACGUGGGAACGUGCCUUUUGGUUCGGAAUAACUCAGGGAAACUUGUGCUAAUACCGAAUGUGCCCUUCGGGGGAAAGAUUUAUCGCCAUUAGAGCGGCCCGCGUCUGAUUAGCUAGUUGGUGAGGUAACGGCUCACCAAGGCGACGAUCAGUAGCUGGUCUGAGAGGAUGACCAGCCACACUGGGACUGAGACACGGCCCAGACUCCUACGGGAGGCAGCAGUGGGGAAUCUUGCGCAAUGGGCGAAAGCCUGACGCAGCCAUGCCGCGUGAAUGAUGAAGGUCUUAGGAUUGUAAAUUUCUUUCACCGGGGACGAUAAUGACGGUACCCGGAGAAGAAGCCCCGGCUAACUUCGUG